rnacentral:lncRNA from 1 species
CUCUUUGUCAUACAAAGUUGCUAUAUAUAUAUAACUCUGAAAACCAAGUUGUAGAUGAAUAGAAAUCCAAAAUGCGUUAAAAUGUGAAAAAUCGAGAAGCAUCGUUGCUCAAGCAGCAUCAAGCAAUAGGGGGCGAGAAGCGGAUGACAAUUCUUUAUUCUAGAUUUGUCGGUUUCGCUCGAGCGAGUAGGUGGCGAAAAACUAGUGAAAAUUCGGCAACAAAUUUCUCGGUCCAUUAAUUUGAUCUACCCAGGACCACUUCGAAUACAACUCCAAUAGAAUUUGGGUCACACUACAACAUAUCUUUAUUCCGAUUUUCCUUUGAUAUGACAUUUUUUAUUCCUUAAAUCCCUUCCAAGACAACUUCAGUUGUGAGACGGAAAGUUUGCUACAGAUUUUGGAAAAAAUGAAACAGUAGAAUUUUUUUCUGUCUCUCAUUUCUUUCAUGUCUUACACUUAUGCUCCCCUUGUUGGUUAAACAACCUGUCUAACCAAUUUUUAGCAGUCAUGCAAGUAUUUUGUUUAAUCACUUAAAUCUAAAUCUACAUUUUAAUUGUGCAUUUCCCUCUUCGUUUUUUGUCUGCUCAACUUACUAAUUGUCAUCUAUAUAUCCUUGUAGUCACUUCUAGCCAAAAUUCACCUUGAAUUAUGCACAUCAGUUGUCUAGUCUUAUCAUACAAGCUUUCAGAUAAGUGAAUUAAGCAAUAUUAAUUAAGCACACAAAACAUGCCUAAUGGGCUAAUUCACGAUAAUUAAAUGUGACGUGUCUAAGCAAGAAUGAUAUGAAAAGUUCUGAUUAGCCUAAUGAAAAUUUCACAGCUUAGGAACAACACUUGCAUUUUUUCGUGAUCUGUUGUCCUGGGUAUACAUCGUCUCCCUCCCUUUCUUAGCAGUCACAUCCAACACGUUAUCUCUUUAUCUAGAUACCCCAAUUACUUUUCUAAUCUAACUUUUCUUUUUCAGGAGU